CUGGGAGGACCAUCUCCUAAGGCUAAAUACUCUCUAGUGACCGAUAGUGAACCAGUACCGUGAGGGAAAGGUGAAAAGCACCCCGGAAGGGGAGUGAAAUAGAACCUGAAACCGUGUGCUUACAAGUAGUCAGAGCCCGUUAAUGGGUGAUGGCGUGCCUUUUGUAGAAUGAACCGGCGAGUUACGAUUUGAUGCAAGGUUAAGCAGUAAAUGUGGAGCCGUAGCGAAAGCGAGUCUGAAUAGGGCGUUUAGUAUUUGGUCGUAGACCCGAAACCAGGUGAUCUACCCUUGGUCAGGUUGAAGUUCAGGUAACACUGAAUGGAGGACCGAACCGACUUACGUUGAAAAGUGAGCGGAUGAACUGAGGGUAGCGGAGAAAUUCCAAUCGAACCUGGAGAUAGCUGGUUCUCUCCGAAAUAGCUUUAGGGCUAGCCUCAAGUGAUGAUUAUUGGAGGUAGAGCACUGUUUGGACGAGGGGCCCCUCUCGGGUUACCGAAUUCAGACAAACUCCGAAUGCCAAUUAAUUUAACUUGGGAGUCAGAACAUGGGUGAUAAGGUCCGUGUUCGAAAGGGAAACAGCCCAGACCACCAGCUAAGGUCCCAAAAUAUAUGUUAAGUGGAAAAGGAUGUGGCGUUGCCCAGACAACUAGGAUGUUGGCUUAGAAGCAGCCAUCAUUUAAAGAGUGCGUAAUAGCUCACUAGUCGAGUGACACUGCGCCGAAAAUGUACCGGGGCUAAACAUAUUACCGAAGCUGUGGAUUGUCCUUUGGACAAUGGUAGGAGAGCGUUCUAAGGGCGUUGAAGCAUGAUCGUAAGGACAUGUGGAGCGCUUAGAAGUGAGAAU
rnacentral:rRNA from 1 species